GAUGAACGCUGGCGGCGUGCCUAACACAUGCAAGUCGAACGGUCCUCGUAAGGGGAUAGUGGCGCACGGGUGAGGAACACGUAGCUGACCUGCCUCAGAGCGUGGGAUAACGCCCCGAAAGGGGUGCUAAUACCGCGUAAGCUCACGGUUUUUAGAGGACUGCGAGAAAAGGCCUUCGGGUCGCUUUGAGAGGGGGCUGCGGCGCAUCAGGUAGUUGGUGGGGUAACGGCCUACCAAGCCAACGACGCGUCGGGGGUCUGAGAGGAUGACCCCCCACACUGGGACUGAGACACGGCCCAGACUCCUACGGGAGGCAGCAGUGAGGGAUAUUGCACAAUGGGGGAAACCCUGAUGCAGCGACGCCGCGUGGGCGAUGAAGGUCUUCGGAUCGUAAAGCCCUUUUCUGUGUGACGAGCAAGGACGGUAGCACAGGAAUAAGUCUCGGCUAACUACGUGCCAGCAGCCGCGGUAAAACGUAGGAGGCAAGCGUUAUCCGGAGUUACUGGGCGUAAAGCGCAAGUAGGCGGCCUGACAAGUUGGUUGUGAAAGCGCCCGGCUAAACUGGGCGAGGCCGACCAAGACUGUUAAGCUAGAGAGUGAUAGAGGGGCGCAGAAUUCGGGGUGUAGCGGUGAAAUGUGUAGAGAUCCCGAGGAAUACCAGUGGGGAAGCCGGCGCCCUGGGUCAUAUCUGACGCUGAGAUGCGAAAGCGUGGGGAGCGAACGGGAUUAGAGACCCCGGUAGUCCACGCCGUAAAC
rnacentral:rRNA from 1 species